ACGUGUGGGUGCUCUGACUGUGGAAGGAGCCCAGAGGCAGUUUGCAUCGCCCGUGCUCGUGAAAGCCCUCGCCUGCCUUAAAGUCUUAGGAGGCUUCCUUGCUGUCUUGUUGCGAGUAAUUGCUGCUUGUGCUGCAGCUGUUCUCGUGAGCUGGCUUUUGUGGUGCAGCUUCUCCAUAGCUUCUGAUUAGUGUGGCUCCUCCCUUUUGGGCUCAGCGCCUAAACGCACACCCUCCCUGCUGAGCUGUGCCCACAGUUAAUGCAGUUACCUGGGAGGUGGGUGGCAGUGUGUCUGCUCCCUAUUCUUGUAGGUCUCUUGGGAGUUACCUCCAUCCUGGACAAAGAUCAGUUGGCUCAGCUCCUGUGCUCGUGUGUUUAGCCUCCGGAUCAGGUCCUGCAGAAAUGCUUCAUCAGAUGUCUUCUACGAAGAGCUGAAAGCAGAGAACACCCAUGCCCCAGUCAGCCUGGAGUGAGGAAAUGUUCCCCUCUAGAUGGUUCGGGAGUCAUGACCUUACAGAACUGUGCUCUUCAGGAAAGGUUUACUACAGCUAGCAAUUCAGCUGUGUCACUUGAAUUCUUCUUAAUUUGUGGGUGAAGACCAUCUGGUGCCGAAAUUUCCUCAGAUGCCACGGGACCUUCUGUACCACUUCUUGUAAUAUUGUAAGGCUGCAUCAGAAGAGGCAGUGAAAGUUUCAAACCACUCAUUCCUUGCACUGCCAGUCCUCAGCUCUCAUCUGCAGCAGCUCUCCUUCAGGGCUCCAGGUCACAUUUGAAAGCACACAAACACUUGCCAGCACCCCUGACCCUACGGCCCUGAGAGCUUGCUGAAGAACCAAAAUGAGCAGAAGUGAAGUGUAAACCUGCUUUCUCCCUGCUUUUUCAAAAGAGAGUGCCUCUGGAAGGUCAGCACUGCACUGAAACUGUCCCUGUGAAGGCCACCUGUUUUGAUGGGGUACCUCUGAGUGGCAUUUCAGAAACUGAGGCUUGUUGGAUUGUUGGUUUUCUCAUCAAGGGUUUUUUCCAGCACUUCCUCUGCUUUCUGACAACUUGAUUAUUAAUUACUACUAAAAGAAAAUCUUGUUUGAAUGCAACUUUCCCCUUAUAUUGUUUGAAUCCUAAUUGACUUUUUUGUCCUUCCAGUUCAGAAAGUAUUUUCUUUUCCAACUCAUAGUUUUUUUCCUCCUUCCACCCCUUUUUAUUGCUUUCUAGUAUACCUGUGCUGUUUCAGCAUCCCCGUGACCUCAAAGGCAGCCAUGCCACGUGGACCUGAAGAAGGGCAGCAGCGUAUGCUUUAUAUUUGUAACCGAGCAGCUAGGUUUCUGCAGGCACUCCACAUAUUCAGGCUUACAGUGACUGCAAGCACCAGCAGCCCUGUGCCCUUAAGAUUUGUCUCUUCA